UGAGGACCCGCGGACAUACCUUUCAGCAUCUCUCUGGAAUCGCUGAACAGACGGUGUCCAGUCCAUGUUAUUCGUCCAUCUCUUAAGCGCCUCCUUGGAUAUCCACAGUAACGCGUGGGAGCGCCGUCAAAUUAAGGCUCCAGAUGUGGUGCUGAGGGGGUGAGGUGUUUGUAUGUCAUCUGCUCGGGCGGCUACGCGUACACCCAUCCAAGGGGGAUGCUGUCAGCCCUGAUGGAGGAGGCCCGGGCCCCAGGCCUGAGGUGAUGGGGCUGGGGGUGGGGCGAACGGGUCACAGCCUACGCACAUCUGGAAGCACUUCAGGUCAGCAGGGCCCGGCUGCCUGAAAGAGGACACAUCAGAGGUUUGAAGAAUGAGCAGACGCGCUUGUGAAACAUGGCUGGAGACAGAGCGGGAAGCCCAGAUCUCGAAGCCUUGGCUGCAGCACCAGGCCUGGUGGAGGCACAGUGUCCGGUUACGCAGCGCCUGAGGAAUGAGCUCAAAGUCUCUUUUAUCAAAGCAUUUCUGUAUUGCUCCCUUUCUGGGACACAUUAAUUGCAGAUGUGUUUGUUCUAUUUCUUUCCUUUCGUUCUCCCCUUCCUUCUCUUGAUCUAUAAACGGGAAUAAUCCCCAUCUUUCUACAAAAACAGUCUCAUUACAGGAGAAUGUGGAGACUGGCUGUGGCCUACAGCAUGUGUGCUCAGAGGCAGAGUGAUCGGCUGGGGAUUUUUAAACAAUCAUGCUGAACUCUGACGAUGAGGCCGAUGACAACACCAAGCUUCAGUGUUACCGUCACGUACAUCUGUAACCGAAUCUUUGCAGAAACCUUGAAUUAGGCAAGUGGUUAAACCUUCUAUUGAUUUUGGUCAUUUUUAUUUCUAAGCGUAUUUUAGUUUUGAGGUAUUAUGCAUAAAGCUUCGAGACGUUUUGUAAUAAAUUCUUGAAAUUGAUGCAUUCUCCAGUCAACUGGUAAACUGAAGACCUGAU